UAGGGAAUCUUCGGCAAUGGGGGGAACCCUGACCGAGCAACGCCGCGUGAGUGAAGAAGGUUUUCGGAUCGUAAAGCUCUGUUGUUAAGGAAGAACGAGUGUGAGAAUGGAAAGUUCAUACUGUGACGGUACUUAACCAGAAAGGGACGGCUAACUACGUGCCAGCAGCCGCGGUAAUACGUAGGUCCCGAGCGUUGUCCGGAUUUAUUGGGCGUAAAGCGAGCGCAGGCGGUUAGAUAAGUCUGAAGUUAAAGGCAGUGGCUCAACCAUUGUAGGCUUUGGAAACUGUUUAACUUGAGUGCAGAAGGGGAGAGUGGAAUUCCAUGUGUAGCGGUGAAAUGCGUAGAUAUAUGGAGGAACACCGGUGGCGAAAGCGGCUCUCUGGUCUGUAACUGACGCUGAGGCUCGAAAGCGUGGGGAGCGAACAGGAUUAGAUACCCUGGUAGUCCACGCCCGUAAACGAUGAAUGCUAGGUGUUAGGUCCUUUCCGGGACUUUAGUGCCGCAGCUAACGCAUUAAGCACUCCGCCUGGGGAGUACGACCGCAAGGUU
rnacentral:rRNA from 1 species